UAAAGUUCUAUUUCUUGUGGAUGCUUCUCAACAGGGCCCUGCCUCAUUCAGAGUGCAGGAUGAACAGUGCUUGGAAUGAAUCGGCACAAUGAAGUGAAAGAGGCUGUUGUUUGCAGGACUCAUGGCAGUUGUUGAGGAAGUUGGAAUAUGUGUUUUGAAUGAGUUGGGAUGUCAAGAAAAGAAAGGAUGAUCCUGUAGCUGAGGCAACUGUGUUUCCCUGGAGAAUGAGUUUCUGUCACUGCCUUUGCCAAAAGAUUCUGUGAGGCAUCUUCAAACUCUAUCAUCUUCUUCAGUAAUCACAGAAUCACAGAGUUGUAGGGGCUG
rnacentral:lncRNA from 1 species